AUGUAUGGACUUUUUUGGAUUUUUUUUUUAAUUUAAAUAAUUUGGUACUGGCAAGUACAGUAUAAUACAACAAGCCACUGGAAAACCAUAGCCAGUGGGGUCAUCUCUGUCCAAUGAAAUGAUGGAUGAUGAUGAAUAGAGAGUGGGGCUCACCCGAUUAAGACAUGGCCACAAUGGUGUUCCCACUCUUUGUACACCAUCAGUUUUUUGGGGAGUGGUGAUCCAAUGGACCAGGAGCUCGAUUAAGAUUGAGAGUAGGGGAUCUUGAAAUGCUGGUGUAUUCCUAAGGUUCGGAGUUCCUCCCUAUAAUGCAUAUAUUUUAGUGGUCUAGGUCUCCAAAUGUUAAGGAUCGAGAUCCUAAUCUUUUGGGGAUCUUGAUCUCAACCCUUUAAGAUCUUGAUCCCAACCUUAAAGAGUAUCCCUAGUUUAAGACUAUAUAUAUAACCUUUAAAGUGGGGAUCUCUUUAUUUACAACCAACAAAGCAAUGCAACUAUAUCAAGAGUAUAAUUAUGUUGCCAGUUAGCUAUAAAUUAAGAAAAUUAUCAGUUUGGUUAUUAUCUUGUUCUUUAAGGUUGUUAUCAAGAUCUCUAAUAGUGGGGACCGAGAUUCCAAAAUUUAAAAAUUAGUAUCCCUUGAAGGUCCCUUUUUGCAGCACCAAAGUGAAAUUUCAGAGCUGUAUCCCUAGCUAUAUUGGAAGAUCC
rnacentral:lncRNA from 1 species